rnacentral:rRNA from 1 species
GAUGAACGCUGGCGGCGUGCCUAAUACAUGCAAGUCGAGCGAACUGAUUAGAAGCUUGCUUCUAUGACGUUAGCGGCGGACGGGUGAGUAACACGUGGGCAACCUGCCUGUAAGACUGGGAUAACUUCGGGAAACCGAAGCUAAUACCGGAUAGGAUCUUCUCCUUCAUGGGAGAUGAUUGAAAGAUGGUUUCGGCUAUCACUUACAGAUGGGCCCGCGGUGCAUUAGCUAGUUGGUGAGGUAACGGCUCACCAAGGCAACGAUGCAUAGCCGACCUGAGAGGGUGAGCGGCCACACUGGGACAGAGACACGGCCCAGACUCCGACGGGAGGCAGCAGUAGGGAAUCUUCCGCAAGGGAGGAAAGUCUGACGGAGCAACGCCGCGUGAGUGAUGAAGGCUUUCGGGUCGUAAAACUCUGUUGUUAGGGAAGAACAAGUACAAGAGUAACUGCUUGUACCUUGACGGUACCUAACCAGAAAGCCACGGCUAACUACGUGCCAGCCGCCGCGGUAAAAC